UACGGUAGGGUGCAGCGUUGCUCGGAAUUAUUGGGCGUAAAGGGUAGGUAGGUGGUCUCAUUUGUCUGGGGUGAAAGCCUUGAGCUUAACUCAAGAAGUGCCCCAGAAACGGUGAGACUAGAGUCCUGGAGAGGGUCGUGGAAUUCCCGGUGUAGCGGUGAAAUGCGUAGAGAUCGGGAGGAACACCAGAGGCGAAGGCGGCGACCUGGACAGGUACUGACACUCAACUACGAAAGCGUGGGGAGCAAACAGG
rnacentral:rRNA from 1 species